ensembl:lncRNA
GCAAUUCAAAGUAAACAUUUUAUUUUCCUCACAAUUUUUGUGUCUCCAUAAUUCAGGAAGGGCUCAGCUGGGUGGUUUAUCUCUGAUCUACAUGGCAUCAGCUGGGACUAGAGGAUCCAUUUCCAAGAUGGUUUCUUCACUCAUAAGUUUGGUGCUUGGAGUCUUUGGCCUGCCUGUAUCUCUCCCUAGCAUCUUCCUCACCCUGGCUUGGGCUUCUCACAAGGACAGUCUCAGAGCAGUAGAACUUCUUACAAGGCAACUUAGGGUUCCAAGAGAUUGUUCCCAGGGACACAGCCAGAAGUUGCAAGGCUUUUUAUGACUUAACCUUGGAAGACCCAGACAUCAUUUCCACCACAUUCUACUGGUCAAGCAGGUCACAAAGGCCAGUUCUUAUUCAAGGGAAUGAGAAUUAGAGUCCAUCUCUCAGGGGAAAAAGUCACAACAAAUGUGUGGCCAACUCUAAUCUACCAUAAGGAGCAAUGAACAAAGCAGAGUGAUUUAAGUAAAUUGUCAAUGUCCAAGAGCAGGAGCAACUGUCAGAGAAAGAGGAACAGGAUGAGUGUAGAGGGCUUUGAAGGUGAGGUUAAGAGAUUUGAAUGUUUCGAGAAUAACAUCUUUUCCCCUGGCAUAUCCUCUCUUGUGGAACUGCACUCAGCUAGAUGAAAGAGAGCACCAGGAUUUUCUAAGGUUCCCAGGCACUGGACUAGCAGACAUAAAUCAGGAUAAAUUUUAAAUUGAUGAGAGCUCUGUCAACACCAGCAAAAGGUAUUGACCUUCUUGUGGUAAAGUUCACUGAAGUACAUGGCUAAAGAAAUUGAAAGAGAGCUUCCGGAGGGUCUGUGUAAAGUCCAGACAUGGAGAUGGAUGGAUACUCCCAAUGCUACGCUUUGGUUCAAGAUCCCAAAAAACAGUUAUGACAAUACACAGUAGGGUUGUUUCCAAAUCAAGUAGUAUUGAUGGGAAAAGGAGAUGGGGAGACAAACCCUAUAUUAGAAUCCAGAACCUCAGUUAGUACCCAGCUUACCCAGGCCCUACUAUAUAUUUAAAACCAGGCAAAAGAUAAGCUUGAAGUCCCUGAAAUUUUCUUAAGGCUAAAGCUUUCAUAAUAUCCUGAGAUUAUGGAUAUAAAGGAAGAAAUCUGUGCUUACCUACUGGAUUAUUCGUGCCAUUUUGAGGUCAAACUCUGAACGCUGAACUUUGGUUCUCUGGUUGAACAUUUGAGGUCCCUGUGCAUUAAAUAAUUUACACAGCAAGCAGGACUUUAACUCCAAUCCUUUUCCUCCUAAUGGGGUGGAAUUUUGUGCACAAGUAUAGACUCACAGCUCUAAAACCAAACAGCUGUUGCUGACCAAAAAAUAAAACAACAAUAACAACAACAAUUAGUCCUGUAUUUAAAGAAAGAAAGAAAAAGAAUUGUCCAGCCCAAAAGACAAGAGCUAUUUUGAUUGUACAAGAAAGAACAUAAUCAGAGUCAGGAACACAAUGGAGGAAAUAUUCCCAAAGGAAAUCAAGAUUAAGAUGCACACUUGGGCCUCUUCCUACAAGCGCCAACCUCCCAAGCCCACAGGUCAUUUUGCUUGACAAUGUCACAUCGAUUCACAUUUCACAAUGUGCUCUUAACUUUAGAAUCUUAAUGUGCUGGCUGGAAUUAGCUGUGUCUUUGGAGCAGAGCCUGAUCUUGGCCAUGUCCUUCUUUGGAGAGACUUCCUGGUUGGCUAGAGGCAUCAGCAAGAUGCCUUGUCAUUCUGGUAAAUGAGAACCAAGAAGAAAUAAACAAUAAAUGUGUGUGUAUACAUGUAUAUACAUGUAUAUACGUAUGUGUAUAUAUACAAACACAUAUAUGCAUAUAUACAUGAAUUGAACAUAUGUAUUAUAUACAUAUAAACAUGUGGCAUGUCAUGUCCUUGCAAAACACUGGGAAACCAUGCUUUGAAGAGAACAUGGAUAUUCUGAAAAACUUUCAUGUUCCAUAAUGACUGUAGUAAUGAUUUCAUCAUGUUGUACACCUUAAAUAUAUACAAUUUUUAUUUUAAAAAAUAAAAUAUAAAAACAUAGGAAAGGAGGAAAUGAGACUUCCUGUGUUCAGUGCAGCCAAUGGUAAUGGGUCAAACUCUCUGGCCCCGUUAUUGGAAGGAAAAUGGAGUUCAGGCCACUAGGAAGCUGCAGGGAAGAAAGAGGAAAGGCUUCUGAAGACUGGCAUGAACUGUGUGAGUCACUGGGUAGGGGAAGGAAACCGAGAUUCUGUGGGCCCACUUCCUUUCCUCAGCCCCACUUUGGGGCUCAGGACUGUGGGCACAUUUCUGAGUGUCCUGGUGGUGGCUGGGGUGGGGAGGAGCAGAGCCCAGAGUCAGCCUGCUGUGCUGAUCAUCUGCUGCCCCGAGGAUUUCCUCCAGAGGCAAUCCAGAAGGAAAUACCCCUAAUGCCACCAAUCCUUUUCCUUGCUUCCCUCUGUGCCACACCCUUUCCCAGCCUCGCUUCCCCAGAAGUAAGACACACUAUCAGCCUAAGUAGCAUCCCUUCCCUGAGAGGUCAUGGUCUACAGUCUCCGUCUCUCAGGUAUGAAGAGGCUGCGGCAGAAGGAAAUCCAGCCUCUCCAGUUGCACAGGGCGGCAGGCACUCUCCUCCUGGCCUUAUGAGCAGAGUGUCCCUCAGCGUUUGUGACUGACAGGCGGGCCCUGCCUCCUGGGUAACAGGACGGACACUGGGUUCAAGCCUCCUGUGUGAGGCUGGGCCUCACCCGGUACUUUCACACAAGGUCCCAUCCUGCCGCUGUCUGCAGUGUCACCCUCCAGGCAGUCAUCGUGGAACCUGCUCCUCGGUGGAACACCACCCACAACCACCCAUUGCCCCUACAAGGGACAGGAGAGCUGAGGUUUCAGGGCCCAAGUGUAGAUGCAAAUUGGAGUAUUUUUAAUGUUCUGAGAAUGAUAGUGAAAACACCUUAAGGACAAGAGUUGCAUUUAAUCUGCAAAUGUGGAUUGAGAAGAACCCCUGAAAGUGACUAUAAAAGAAUCAUAAUGAUGUUAUAAGAACAGGUGUAGUUGAGUGGGGUGGAGUUUAGGGGUGGCAUCAUGGAGAGCUGUGGGUGUUCGGGAGCCACCCUUACCCGGUAGAUGUCUGUGAGUUGAUGAAGAGAAGAGCAGUGCACCUGACAGGAGAGCCACAUGGAAGAGCCCAAGCAGAGAAGGUCCUUGCGGAGGGAGGAGAGGCGCACCACACAAAAAGCCUUAGCUGGAGAUGCUGGACUACUGAGCCCGCCAUUUACCCAGAAACCAGCAUGGCGCAGGACCUAGCUGGCAAACAGGACAGGUCCUUACCUCUCCAGAGACCCAAAGAAGGUGACCUGCAGAGACCCAACUAGGUAGAUGUGGAGGAUGCUGUGCACUGGUUUGCUCAACCUCCAUUCCAAGCUUCUCCAGGGGACCAUCCUAUAUGACAGACACCUUAGAAAAACUAAAUUUCCCGUCCUCCUUUGCAAGUUGGGGUCCAGAUGGGAUUAGGUUCUGCCAAUCAGAUGCACCAGCGCCAGACCUCAAUUCAGAGCCCAGUUAUAUGGGGCAAGAGACAAGGUCUUUACUUGGCUGGCCCUGAUCUCAGCAGAGGCGAGGGGCUCUGCAGUGGGCAGGUGGGAGCACAGCCUUCCCAGCCAUGUCUCCCGAGUAGAGUAAUUCUGCCAGCUGGAAUUCUUUCUGGAAGCUCUGAUGAGAGCCUGCUUGCCUAGCCCUUCAAAGUGUUUGUAGGCCACUCAAUACCUGAUUAUUAAUCCCCCCGCGUUUCAACUAGCUAGAGGGAUUUUUGUCUUCUGAAGUGGCACAGACAGUGGAGGACCCAGCACGUCUAACACCCAAAGUGGAUCAUCUUUUUAACACCCUUCUCUAGGUGACAAAAUUAU